AUAAUGUGUGUGACUUCUCUGACACCAUGUACUGCCUCCCUUACUUCACUGGUAUUUCAAAACUUGCAGUUCAAUCAUUUGUUUGACAGAGGAUUUGUUCAUAAACUUUGUAUGACUUUAUCAUUUAUGUGACCUCUCACUUUUUAUGUUAUUUUGUCUCUCUAGCCAACUUCUAAAGAUCAGGUGUUGGCCAUGCUAGAGAAAGCCAAAGCUAACAUGCCAGCCAAGCCUGCUCCACCCACUAAAGCAACUUCUAAACCAAUGGGAGGGUCAGCUCCAGCCAAAUUCCAGCCUGCAUCAGCACCUGCUGAAGAUUCUAUUUCCAGCAGUACAGAACCCAAACCUGAUCCAAAAAAGGCCAAAGCUCCAGGAUUAUCCUCUAAAGCAAAGAGUGCACAAGGGAAGAAGGUGCCAAGCAAAACCAGCUUAAAGGAGGAUGAAGACAAAUCUGGGCCUAUUUUUAUUGUUGUUCCAAAUGGAAAAGAGCAAAGGAUGAAAGAUGAAAAAGGAUUGAAGGUGCUAAAGUGGAAUUUUACUACCCCACGGGAUGAAUACAUCGAGCAACUAAAGACUCAAAUGUCUAGCUGUGUGGCUAAAUGGUUACAAGAUGAGAUGUUUCACUCAGACUUUCAGCAUCAUAACAAAGCCCUUGCUGUUAUGGUUGAUCACUUGGAGAGUGAAAAAGAAGGUGUUAUUGGUUGCCUGGAUCUUAUCUUAAAGUGGCUUACCCUGAGGUUUUUUGACACCAAUACAAGCGUCCUGAUGAAAGCACUAGAAUAUUUAAAAUUGCUCUUCACCUUGCUAAGUGAGGAAGAAUAUCAUCUUACUGAGAAUGAAGCAUCUUCCUUCAUCCCCUAUCUUGUCGUCAAGGUUGGAGAACCAAAGGAUGUCAUACGUAAAGAUGUUCGUGCCAUCCUGAACCGGAUGUGCCUUGUCUACCCAGCUAGCAAGAUGUUUCCCUUUAUCAUGGAAGGAACCAAAUCCAAAAACUCUAAGCAGAGAGCAGAGUGCCUGGAAGAGCUGGGAUGUCUGGUUGAGUCCUAUGGCAUGAAUGUUUGCCAACCAACCCCAGGAAAAGCCUUAAAGGAAAUAGCUGUUCACAUAGGAGACCGUGACAAUGCUGUACGCAAUGCUGCACUCAACACCAUUGUAACGGUGUACAAUGUACAUGGGGAUCAGGUGUUCAAACUGAUUGGAAAUCUUUCUGAAAAGGAUAUGAGCAUGCUCGAGGAGAGGAUUAAGCGCUCAGCAAAGAGACCCUCUGCUGCACCAAUAAAACAGGUGGAAGAGAAACCUCAGCGUGCACAGAACAUAAGCUCCAAUGCCAACAUGUUACGCAAGGGACCAGCUGAGGACAUGUCUUCCAAACUCAACCAAGCCCGAAGCAUGAGUGGGCAUCCUGAGGCAGCCCAGAUGGUCCGCCGAGAAUUCCAGCUGGAUCUAGAUGAGAUUGAGAAUGACAAUGGUACAGUCCGAUGUGAAAUGCCAGAACUUGUUCAGCACAAACUGGAUGACAUUUUUGAGCCAGUCCUUAUUCCUGAACCCAAGAUCCGGGCUGUUUCUCCACACUUCGAUGACAUGCACAGUAAUACAGCAUCCACAAUCAAUUUCAUUAUCUCCCAAGUAGCCAGUGGUGACAUCAACACAAGUAUCCAAGCUCUGACACAGAUCGAUGAAGUCCUGAGACAGGAAGACAAAGCUGAAGCCAUGUCCGGCCAUAUUGAUCAGUUUCUGAUAGCCACGUUUAUGCAGCUAAGACUCAUCUACAACACACACAUGGCAGAUGAGAAAUUGGAGAAGGAUGAGAUCAUCAAGUUGUAUAGCUGUAUCAUUGGCAACAUGAUUUCGCUGUUUCAGAUAGAGAGCCUUGCCCGGGAGGCCUCCACUGGAGUACUAAAAGACCUAAUGCAUGGCCUCAUCACAUUAAUGCUGGAUUCUCGGAUUGAAGAUCUUGAGGAAGGACAACAGGUCAUCCGCUCUGUGAACCUCUUGGUGGUGAAGGUUCUGGAGAAGUCAGACCAGACCAACAUCCUGAGUGCCCUACUUGUUUUGCUCCAAGACAGCCUGCUAGCAACAGCCAGUUCUCCCAAAUUCUCAGAGCUUGUUAUGAAGUGUCUCUGGAGAAUGGUUCGACUGUUGCCUGAUACCAUCAAUAGCAUUAACCUAGACAGAAUUCUUCUGGAUAUCCACAUUUUCAUGAAGGUCUUCCCCAAAGAGAAACUGAAGCAAUGCAAAAGUGAAUUUCCCAUAAGGACCCUAAAGACCCUGCUACACACCUUAUGCAAAUUAAAAGGGCCCAAGAUCCUGGACCACCUAACGAUGAUCGACAACAAAAACGAGUCUGAGCUGGAGGCCCAUCUCUGCCGGAUGAUGAAGCACAGUAUGGACCAGACUGGGAGCAAGUCUGAUAAGGAAACAGAAAAGGGAGCGUCUCGAAUAGAUGAAAAAUCAUCAAAGGCCAAAGUGAAUGAUUUCUUAGCUGAGAUUUUUAAGAAGAUUGGCUCUAAAGAAAACACUAAAGAGGGACUAGCAGAGUUAUACGAAUAUAAGAAGAAAUACUCAGAUGCUGACAUUGAACCAUUUCUGAAAAAUUCCUCACAGUUCUUCCAGAGCUAUGUCGAAAGAGGCCUUCGGGUGAUUGAGAUGGAGAGGGAGGGCAAAGGUCGUAUUUCCACUUCAACAGGUAUCUCCCCUCAGAUGGAGGUCACGUGUGUACCCACGCCCACAAGCACAGUGUCCUCCAUAGGUAACACAAAUGGGGAAGAAGUGGGGCCGUCUGUCUACUUGGAAAGGCUAAAGAUCCUCCGACAGCGAUGUGGUCUGGACAACACAAAGCAAGAUGACCGACCUCCUUUGACCUCUUUGCUCUCCAAACCAGCAGUUCCUACCGUCGCCUCUUCCACAGACAUGCUCCACAGCAAACUCUCUCAGCUCCGGGAGUCACGGGAGCAGCACCAGCAUUCAGACCUGGAUUCUAACCAGACUCACUCUUCAGGAACUGUGACCUCCUCCUCCUCCACAGCUAACAUAGACGACUUGAAAAAAAGACUGGAGAGAAUAAAGAGCAGUCGCAAAUGAAGCUGC
rnacentral:sRNA from 1 species